GACGAACCGUGCGAACGUUGUUCGGAUUCACUGGGCUUAAAGGGCGCGUAGGCGGGCGAUCAAGUCGGGGGUGAAAUCUUUCAGCUUAACUGGAAAAUAGCCUUCGAUACUGGUGGUCUGGAGGAAGGUAGGGGCAUGUGGAACUUCCGGUGGAGCGGUGAAAUGCGUAGAUAUCGGAAGGAACGCCGGUGGCGAAAGCGACGUGCUGGACCUUUUCUGACGCUGAGGCGCGAAAGCCAGGGGAGCAAACGGG
rnacentral:rRNA from 1 species